GCCGGGGCCGGGGCCGGGGCCGAGGCCGGGUGUAAGAUGGAAUAAAGCAGUAGUGAAAUCAUCUUGGGGAGCUGGGAGGAGUGUCAAACUUUCAGCAAUUGAGUCCCGAGAAGCAAUGCUCAGAAAUUAUGGAGGUGAUUCUGGCAGGUUCCAGCUGUUCUUGGUGAGGGAGUUGGAACAUUUUUUGGAACUUCUUGACAAAAGCAUGUCUCUUGUUCAGUGGACUAAAUGCACUUCCUUUCUCCAAGUUUUCCCUACCUUAGAGAAAGAGAGAGAGAUGGGAAGCUGGGGGAUUUCCAUUAAGGAGAAACCAGAGACGAUCAAAGGAGGAGGAGGGUGGUGCUGCCCUUUAAGAAAGCCGGCCAGAGCUCUGGAACUGGGACUCUUAAGAAACUUCUGUAAUGUGCCAAGUAAAGUGAGAAAGCUCUUCGUGGGGUCAAAAGAGAAGCUACCAGAGGAGGCCCCACGGAAGACUUGGCAGAAGAGAGUGGGAAAGAGCAUGCAUACUUGA
rnacentral:lncRNA from 1 species